GUGCUUGCUCAGGCAGCACAUACGAUACAUUGGAUACAGAUACAGAGAUGAUUAGCAUGGCCCCUGCGAAAGGAUGACACGCAAAUUCGUGAAGCGUUUCCACAUUUU